rnacentral:lncRNA from 1 species
AAGGUCAACAUAAGUGAAAGCAUGAAUCCAUCUAAGCUAAAUGACGAACUGUUUGACUUUCCGGAGGAUGGUUACCCUCCCUUGGACUCUUCAUAGAGAUAUUUUCAGAGCCUAUUUCAUAGGUAUUCAAAAUUUGGUCAAACAUUCCUCAUUUCAACAUUAAUAAUUCAAAAAUCAUUAUCAAACCUCUAUAGGAUGUAUUAUUAAGGGGGAGGAUCA